UAAGAAAUAUUGGUCAAUGGACGCAAGUCUGAACCAGCCAUGCCGCGUGGAGGAUUAAGGCCCUCUGGGUUGUAAACUCCUUUUAUCUGGGAAGAAAUGUACUUUUUCUUGAGUACUUGACGGUACCAGAGGAAUAAGCACCGGCUAACUCCGUGCCAGCAGCCGCGGUAAUACGGAGGGUGCAAGCGUUAUCCGGAUUCACUGGGUUUAAAGGGUGCGUAGGUGGGCAGGUAAGUCAGUGGUGAAAUCUCCGGGCUUAACCCGGAAACUGCCGUUGAUACUAUUUGUCUUGAAUAUUGUGGAGGUAAUCGGAAUAUGUCAUGUAGCGGUGAAAUGCUUGGAUAUGACAUAGAACACCAAUUGCGAAGGCAGCUUACUACACAAUCAGUGACGCUGAGGCACGAAAGCGUGGGGAUCAAA
rnacentral:rRNA from 1 species